UAUAUAAUACCAGUGCUAUGGAUUUAUUUGUCUAGCAUACUCAACUUGGAGUAGAAGAUCAAUACUCAAGAACUGCACUCGACAAGACAACCAAUGCUGGAACACAUGACCUGCAAAUGAAGGUGGUAGCUAUGAUGGAACAACUUUGAUGAAAUAAAUCACCCGCAAGUUAAGGUUACACUGUUUUUGUACUUUCCAUAUUAUUUGUGGUGUUUUUGUUAAAAUGAAUUAUAGCUUGCAAAGCGCAAAUACCCGAAGACAAUGUUAAGAACGGAAAAACCGGUCCGUACAAAUCGAAGUUUAAGCAGUAUAAUGGAGCAAAUAAAAAUGAAAGCAACAUAUCUAAAUUCCAAGGUCGGAAUAUUGCGACUGAUGAGAGUGUUGAGACCCGCACCCCGUUUUCCAGUCCUUACACAUUUGACUUACACCAUAACCUGAAAUAGAGGAGUACCGGA